rnacentral:rRNA from 1 species
AUAUAAGUAGGCGGUGGAAAAUGAACCAAAUGGGAUUCCUUAAGUAAUUGCGAAUGAACAAGGAACUGCUCAGCUUGAAAAUUGGGGCCUUCGGCCUUGAAUUGUAAUUUUGAAAUGUAUUGCCAAUGGAGGCGCAGGUGCAAGCCUAUUGAAAGAAAGCGUCAAUGAGGGUGAGAUUCCUUUUUGUCAUUUGCAGUCCUCCGUGCACGGUAUAUAUUUGACGAGUCACACUCCUUGGCAUUGGAAUGCAAAGUGGGUGGUAAAUUCCAUGUAAAGGAAAAUAUAUUAUUGAGACUGAUAGCAAACAAGUACCAUGAGGGAAAUAUGAAAAGGACUUUGAAAAGAGAAUUAAAAGAGUCUGCAUUUGCUGAACAGAAAGCAAACAGAAUUGAUCUACUUGGUGAGAUUGUUGCGUCCACUUGUGGGCGCAAUGGUUCUUGCCUCGAAUGUCAGCGUCUAUUUCUGCAAAUUAUUACCCUUGCAUAUGAAUGGUAAUUUGCCUGUGGGCAUUGGAAUGCAUGUGUUUGCAAUGAUUUGUGAUUUGAUACAUGUGUCUGGUGUUCGUGUGUGUGCCUUCUUGCCAACAAGGGGAGGGCUCCCUUCCCUGGGCACUGCAUG